UACGGAGGGUGCGAGCGUUGUUCGGAAUCACUGGGCGUAAAGGGCGUGUAGGCGGUCCGCUAAGUCUGAUGUGAAAGCCCGGGGCUCACCCCCGGAAGGGCAUUGGAAACUGACGGACUCGAGUCCCGAAGAGGAGGGUGGAAUUCCUGGUGUAGCGGUGAAAUGCGCAGAUAUCAGGAGGAACACCAAUGGCGAAGGCAGCUCGCUGGGACGGUACUGACGCUGAGACGCGAAAGCGUGGGGAGCGAACAGG
rnacentral:rRNA from 1 species